GACGAACGCUGGCGGCGUGCCUAAUACAUGCAAGUCGAACGCUGAAGGAGGAGCUUGCUUCUCUGGAUGAGUUGCGAACGGGUGAGUAACGCGUAGGUAACCUGCCUGGUAGCGGGGGAUAACUAUUGGAAACGAUAGCUAAUACCGCAUAAGAGUAGAUGUUGCAUGACAUUUGCUUAAAAGGUGCAAUUGCAUCACUACCAGAUGGACCUGCGUUGUAUUAGCUAGUUGGUGGGGUAACGGCUUACCAAGGCGACGAUACAUAGCCGACCUGAGAGGGUGAGCGGCCACACUGGGACGGAGACACGGCCCAGACGCCUACGGGAGGCAGCAGUAGGGAAUCUUCGGCAAUGGACGGAAGUCUGACCGAGCAACGCCGCGUGAGUGAAGAAGGUUGUCGGAUCGUAAAGCUCGGUUGUAAGAGAAGAACGAGUGUGAGAGUGGAAAGUUCACACUGUGACGGUAUCUGACCAGAAAGGGACGGCUAACUACGUG
rnacentral:rRNA from 1 species